AUCGGUUUUAGUUUUGUCGAUGACAAAAUAUACGUCACAUUUUUACGUCACGGAGGCAGAAGAUCGAACUGCAGGAUUUAGCAGAGGCAUGCACUGGCUGCUUGACAUAUCCCUGGAAGAGGACACCAACUAGCUAACACAGUCAAUGACAGAUGCCUCUUUGAAUUGAUAAAAUCAUAAUCAAAUGGAUAUAAUACAAAAAUUUCAAAGAUCUGUUUUGAUGUAGCCUGAAGAUUUUGUAAUGAAUGAUCCAGGAUCCAAAAGUUCUUCGCGGAGUUCAAAGACAGUUGCAAUGUGGUUGCUAAUUUAGUGACAGAUUAAGAAAGAAGUUCAAACAAGCAUUGUCAUGGGAAAACAUGAAAAAGGAAGAAGUUGGAGGUGGACAAAAAUCAGGAUGAAUAUACUAGAGAAACUAUUAAAGCACAGAAGAAUGACAACAAUAUAAAUCUAAAUGUAAUCAUUCAAGGAAUUAAAAUUCAUUUUUAAUCUCGAAAUUGUCUUUUUUCUGUA